rnacentral:rRNA from 1 species
GACAGAGGGUGCGAACGUUGCUCGGAAUUACUGGGCGUAAAGCGUGUGUAGGCGGCUUCGCGCGUCGGAGGUGAAAGCCCGGGGCUCAACCCCGGAAGUGCCCCCGAAACGGCGGAGCUCGAGUGCGGAAGAGGAGCGUGGAAUUCCCGGUGUAGAGGUGAAAUUCGUAGAGAUCGGGAGGAACACCAGUGGCGCAGGCGACGCUCUGGGCCGACACUGACGCUGAGACACGAAAGCGUGGGGAGCAAACAGG